rnacentral:tRNA from 1 species
GCACUGGUCGUCCAGCGGCGAGGACACCGCACCCGUAUUGCGGUCACGAGGGUUCGAGUCCCUCCCAGUGCU